rnacentral:rRNA from 1 species
AGAGUUUGAUCAUGGCUCAGGACGAACGCUGGCGGCGUGCCUAAAACAUGCAAGUCGAACGGAGCCUUCGGGCUUAGUGGCGAACGGCGGAGUAAUACAUAAACAACGUGCCCCAAAGACUGGGAUAGCCGCGGGAAACUGCGAGUAAUACCAGAUGUGGCCUCGGGAAGGCAUCUUUCUGAGAUUAAACGGUUUUUCGCUUUGGGAGCGGUUUAUGACUCAUCAGCUAGUUGGUAGGGUAACGGCCUACCAAGGCGACGACGGGUAGGGGGUCUGAGAGGAUGAUCCCCCCGAGUGGGACUGAGACACGGCCCACACACCUACGGGUGGCAGCAGUUGGGAAUCUUGCACAAUGGGGGAAACCCUGAUGCAGCGACGCCGCGUGGAGGAUGAAGGAUUUAGGUCUGUAAACUCCUUUUUCAUGGAAAGACUUAGGACGGUACCAUGAGAAUAAGCACCGGCUAACUACGUGCCAGCAGCCGCGGUAAGACGUAGGGUGCGAGCGUUGUCCGGAUUUACUGGGCGUAAAGGGCGCGUAGGCGGUCUAUUAAGUGAAUGGUGAAAUCUCCAGGGCUCAACCCGGAAACUGCUUUUCAUACUGAUAGACUGGAGGGAUGUAGAGGUAAGUAGAAUUCCUGGUGUACCGGUGACAUGGGUUGAUAUCAGGAGGAAUACCCGAGGCGAAGGCGGCUUACUGGACAUCACCUGACGCUGAGGCGCGAAAGCGUGGGGAGCAAACAGAAUUAGAUACUCUGGUAGUCCACGCCCUAAACGAUGGAUACUAGACGUAAGAGGUAUCGACCCCUCUUGUGUCGCAGCUAACGCACUAAGUAUCCCGCCUGGGGAGUACGGCCGCAAGGUUGAAACUCAAAUGAAUUGACGGGGACCCGCACAAGCGGUGGAGCAUGUGGAUUAAUUCGAUACUAACCGAAGAACCUUACCCAGACUUGACAUCGAUGGAAAGGCCGUGAAAGCGGCCCCUCCCCACAAGGGACCUGAAGACACUUGUUGCAUGGCUGUCGUCAGCUCGUGCCGUGAGGUGUUUGGUUAAGUCCAGCAACGAGCGCAACCCUCGUCUUAUGUUGCCAGCGGGUCAUGCCGGGAACUCAUGAGAGACCGCCGGUGUAAAUCGGAGGAAGGUGAGGAUGACGUCAAGUCAGCAUGGCAGUUACGUUUGGGGCUUCACACAUGCUACAAUGGACGAAACAAAGGGCAGCAACACCGCGAGGUAGAGCCAAUCCCAAAAAUACGUCCUCAGUUCAGAUAGUAGUCUGCAACUCGACUACUUGAAGGCGGAAUCGCUAGUAAACGCAGGUCAGCUAUACUGCGUUGAAUACGUUCCCGGGUCUUGUACACACCGCCCGUCAAGUCACCUGAAUUGUCUUCACCCGAAGUCCGUGGCCCAACCGUAAGGAGGGAGCGGCCGAAGGUGAGGGGGGUAAGGGGGACUAAGUCGUAACAAGGUACCCGUACCGGAAGGUGUGGGUG